GACUUCCGGUGACAGGAUAUAUUUGUAAUUGGCGGCCUUCUCAUAAAGUUUCCCUAGAUUCUCAGAAGCUGUGCAACCUUUAUUUGGCGGGAUUUAAUCGCGUUCACUUUAUUACAUUCUGCAUACACUGCACUAUUCUACUCCCUCUAAAACCCUAAAAUCGUGCCUUCUUUUUCUCUUUCUCUUUCUCACUUCCAACAACCACCAUAAACCCUAACCUAGGACAUCUUCAAUCGAGCAAUGGCCUCAGCAAUUUUCUCAGAUUGUUCUUCAUCCGCAACAGCUCGUGUUUUCACAUUCAAUAAAAUCCGAACUGGUAUUUUUCAUUUAAGACAAUCAUCAGCUAUUGUUUCUUGCAGACCUCGAAAUCCCAGCUUUGGUGUUCUCAGUACGCAGCGGCGAAGUUCUUACUCCACUGCUGUGGCUAUGUCACUGAAUACUGAAACUUCUGUGAAAGUAAUUGAUGGAAAGGCGGUUGCGAAGCAAAUCAAAGAUGAAAUCAAAAUUGAAGUAUUGAAGAUGAAGGAUGCAAUUGGUGUUGUACCAGGGUUAGCUGUUAUUCUAGUUGGAGAUAGGAAAGAUUCUGCAACGUAUGUGCGAAAUAAGAAGAAGGCUUGUGAAGCAGUUGGGAUUACAUCUUAUGAAAUUUGCUUGCCUGAGGAUUCUACAGAAGAAGAUGUUCUUAAGCAUAUUGCUGAUUAUAAUGAGAAUUCCAAAGUUCAUGGUAUCCUCAUUCAGCUGCCUCUACCUCGUCAUAUGGAUGAAGCGAGAAUCUUGAACGCCGUUAGUAUUGAUAAAGAUGUCGACGGAUUUCAUCCACUAAACAUCGGGCUUCUUGCCAAGCGAGAUCGGGAGCCUUUUUUUGUUUCAUGUACCCCCAAAGGAUGCAUAGAGUUGUUGCACAGAUAUGGCAUCACAAUCAAGGGGAAGAGAGCAGUUAUAAUUGGUCGUAGUAACAUUGUUGGACUUCCCGUGUCACUACUGCUACAGAGGGAAGAUGCUACCAUCACUAUUGUGCACUCUAGAACCGAGAACCCUGAGGAGAUCGUGAGACAAGCAGAUAUCAUCGUCUCUGCGGCUGGAAAAGCGAAUAUGGUGAGAGGUAGCUGGAUUAAGCCAGGGGCUGUUAUCAUUGAUGUCGGCAUCAACCCAAUAGAUGACCCAGAAAGUCCUCGAGGCUACCGGUUGGUUGGGGAUGUUUGCUAUGACGAAGCCUGUAAAGUAGCUUCCGCUAUUACUCCAGUACCUGGUGGAGUCGGUCCGAUGACCAUAGCCAUGCUUCUAUCAAAUACCCUUAGCUCAGCUAAGAGAGCACUCAAGUUUGAAUGAGAGCUGGACGAUUUUUGCGGCUUAUCUGGAAACAAUGAUGUUACGUGUGCCCCUUCUCAAUAGAAGAAUGUAAUCAACUCACUUACCAGGUUGUCCUAGAGACUUUGGAGCCAAGUCUCCAGUUACUGCUGCUGUUCUAGCACAGGCUAGGUUGCCUAUGGCAGAAACGGCAGCAACUAUCAAUAAGUUAAGGAGUCGCGCCUCUCUGAGCUUACCGAGGUAAUGAUAGAAUAACAUAGGUCGGUUUCUUACUUUUUUUCGUUUGAGGGUGAGGAUCUGUACACACCCACCACUCACUUACACCCAUUGUAGGACACCCACUGUUUGUAUUAAAAAUAUGUGGAUUUGAAUUUCAUUAGAAUGAUAAUGUAGGUUGUCUUUUGCAAAGCAAAAUCCUUCUCGGCAUCUGUAUACACUGUGAUAAUGUACAUGUAAUGAAACAAACUCAUCUGAUUUAGACUUGA